GACGAACGCUGGCGGCGUGCCUAAUACAUGCAAGUAGGACGCAGUUGCGAACGUGUGAGUAACGCGUAUGUAACUGCCUCUUAGAGGGGGAUAACUAUUUGAAACGCUAGCUAAUACCGCAUACUAGUAGAUGGACCUGCGUUGUAUUAGCUAGUAGGUUGGGUAAUGGCCUACCUAGGCGACGAUACAUAGACGAACUGAGAGGGGGAUCGGCAACACGGGGACGGAGACAAGGGCCAGACUCCCACGGGAGGGAGGAGGAGGGGAUCUUCGGAAAUGGGGGGAACCCUGAACGGGCAACGCCGCGUGAGUGAAGAAGGGUUUCGGAUCGUAAAGCUCUGUUGUUAAGGAAGCGGUACUUAACCAGAAAGGGACGGCUAACUACGUGCCAGCAGCCGCGGUAAUAC
rnacentral:rRNA from 1 species